CCAACGGCUCUUUUAAGAGCCACCCACGUCCGCUCCAGAGCACAUU
rfam:Oryzias latipes DNA, chromosome23, strain: Hd-rR.